rnacentral:lncRNA from 1 species
CAGUUACAUCAGCAUGAAGAACAGCAUAAUACACUAUGUAACAUUGGCUAAGAGGUAGUCUUAACUCGGGGUUCGAUUUUUCGAGUUUUUUAAAAUUUUCCAUUAGUUCAAUGGACUUUAAUUUUACCGCAUCUACCAUGACGAGGCCGAGAGUGGUGAGGUCCGCCCCCUCGGCCUCGGAGGUACGCGGAUCGGAUUGAAGGGUAGUGAGACAAAGUGGGUAGUUAGGGGUGGCUCUGCAGGUCGAGUUGAUGAGAUUAUUAUUGUUGUUGUCGUUGUUGAAUGCCAGAUUGGUGAUUAGCAUAAAUAUGGGGAAUAAGUUUCUCAUUUUUUUUUGAGAGUGGUGUUAUUGAAGAUGAAAGAUAUAAUAGGAGGAGAGGAG